rnacentral:rRNA from 1 species
UUUAACUGAGCGUUCAGUUACUUGACGUAGACCCGAAACCGGGCGACCUACCCAUGAGCAGGAUGAAGCGAAAGUAAAAUUUCGUGGAGGUCCGAACCCACGAGCGUUGAAAAGCUCGGGGAUGACUUGUGGGUAGCGGUGAAAUUCCAAUCGAGCCCGGAGAUAGCUGGUUCUCCCCGAAAUAGCUUUAGGGCUAGCCUCAAGGUGAGAGAUACGGAGGUAGAGCACUGAAUGUCCUAGGGGGUAUUGCACCUACCGAAGACUAUCAAACUCCGAAUGCCGUCAUCUUAUACUUGGGAGUCAGACUGUGGGUGAUAAGAUUCAUAGUCGAAAGGGCAACAGCCCAGAUCGUCAGCUAAGGUCCCUAAAUGUAAGUUAAGUGGUAAAGGAUGUGGGAUUGCACAGACAACCAGGAUGUUGGCUUAGAAGCAGCCACUCAUUCAAAGAGUGCGUAAUAGCUCACUGGUCGAGUGAUCCUGCGCCGAAGAUUUCCGGGGCUAAAACUUACUACCGAAGCUACGGCAUCAGUAAUGAUGGGUAGGGGAGCUUCCCAUACGGGUUGAAGCAUGACCGUAAGGACAUGUGGACAGUAUGGGAGUGAGAAUGUUGGCAUGAGUAGCGAGAUGUGGGUGAGAAUCCCACAGGCCGUAAACCCAAGGUUUCCAGGGGAAGGUUCGUCCGCCCUGGGUUAGUCGGGACCUAAGCUGAGGCCGAAAGGCGUAGGUGAUGGACAACAGGUUGAUAUUCCUGUACUACCGAUAACCAUUUGAGAGAAGGGAUGACACAGUAGGAUAAGCUAAGCACACUGUUGGUUAUGUGUGCCCAAGCAUUGAGGCAGUCAAAGUAGGCAAAUCCGCUUUGAUAAUGCUGGGAUGUGAUGGGGAGCGAAAUUUAGUAGCGAAGUAGCUGAUUUCACACUGUCAAGAAAAGUCUCUAUCGAGGUUAAAGGUACCCGUACCGCAAACCGACACAGGUGGGUGAGGAGAGUAUCCUAAGGCCAGCGAGAGAACUGUUGUUAAGGAACUCGGCAAAAUGACCCCGUAACUUAGGGAUAAGGGGUGCCACCAUCAGGUGGCCGCAGAGAAUAGGCCCAAGCGACUGUUUACCAAAAACAUAGGUUUCUGCUAAGUCGCAAGACGAUGUAUAGGAGCUGACGCCUGCCCGGUGCUGGAAGGUUAAGGGGAUCUGUUAGAGCAAUCGAAGCAGUGAACUUAAGCCCCAGUAAACGGCGGCCGUAACUAUAACGGUCCUAAGGUAGCGAAAUUCCUUGUCGGGUAAGUUCCGACCCGCACGAAAGGCGUAACGAUUUGGGCACUGUCUCAACAACAGACUCGGUGAAAUUGUAAUUCCGGUGAAGAUGCCGGAUACCUGCGACAGGACGGAAAGACCCCAUGGAGCUUUACUGUAGCUUGACAUUGGGUCUUGGUACUACAUGUACAGGAUAGGUGGGAGGCUUUGAAACCAGGACGCCAGUUUUGGCGGAGCCAUCCUUGGGAUACCACCCUUGUA